rnacentral:rRNA from 1 species
AUGCCUAUCGUUGCUCCCGUGCCUUCCAACAUUGUGGUGAUCUUUGUCAUUUCCAAUCAUGUUUCCAGACAAGUUAUUUAUAAUGAGCUCAAGGAGUGGGGCCUAGAGGGCUGGGAUUGGCAGAUCAACCAGAUCUCGGAGAGAGAAUUUUCAGUUACUUUUCCCACAAAUGAAAGCUUAAAGAUGAUGGCCUCAUGCUUGAGUUUCACCCUUCCCCUUAACCAGGUGAUGGUCUCUGUGAAGGCUGCUGUUGAUGGGGCUAAAGCAGUGGCUUCUCUGUCUGAAACUUGGGUGAUCCUCGAUGAUGCUCCGUCAGGACUCUGA